ACAUCCACACAUCCACAAACAGACAUCCACACACCCACAGACAUCCACAAACAGACAUCCACAAACAGACAUCCACAAACAGACAUCCACAAACAGACAUCCACAAACAGACAUCCACAAACAGACAUCCACAAACAGACAUCCACAAACAGACAUCCACAAACAGACAUCCACAAACAGACAUCCACAAACAGACAUCCACAAACAGACAUCCACAG